GGCUCUCUAGAGACAUGGUUUUGACUCCAGGACUGGAGGAAACAUUAAUACCAGAGGUGGAUGUAUGUGUGGAAGAGGAAGGUCUUGGAUUCCCAGGGAGUAGGCGGUCAUCUGUGCCACAGACUCUAAGCCUGGUGCUUGUUGGGAAUGCGGGGACAGAUAAUGCCCAAGGAAAUGACAGGAGUAAGAGGGUUAUCUGGAGCAGGAAAAUGUGCCAGGUAAGAUGCGUGUUUACUUGGGUUCGGGAUUUUCUUAUCUGGGGACUGAGUGGCUGAUUACAGGCUCAGGGCUCAUUACUCCCAAAUUGCCCGUCUGUCACUGCUCAUUAGAGGAGUUUUCAUUCGAAAUCUGUUUCUGGUUGUUGCCCUCUUUGAAGAGACGAGUGAAUGAGGUCACAGGGAUUAAUGGCUGCUAAAAGCCAUUCUGUUUCAAUAUUUCUCCAAGGAAAACUAAUCAUCAUGUUUUCUGAAUGCAAAACUCCGAAAUAAAGAUACGGGGAGUAGCAGGCCCUCUCCAAUCAGACAGGCUCGGGAAAGUUUCCCCUACUAAAAUAGAGCCGCUUAGAACAAAGUAGAGUGGAGAGAGGGUGCAAGAAGGAGCUCCCAGGCACCUGCCUGGAAACUGCCUCAUCACAAGAAAAGCCUGCGGUCCCACAUGCCACACGUUGAGCAUGCCUUGUAGUAAAACCCUUCUCAAGAGCCUCCUGGAGACUUCAGGGCUCUGGACAGGACACCUGCUGAAGGACACUGACCCCAGCAGCGGUGUCUCCACGAAGAAAGGAACAGCGAGCAACGAACAGCGCCGAUUCCUGCACUGAGCCUCUGUGACCUGUGGACUUUGUUUCAAAACAGCUUGCGUGGGCUUCCUUUGUCCAUAAAAUCUUACCCUUUGUCCUGGCCCCCUUGCUAUGACUGUGAUCAUCGUAGCAUGCACAUCCCAAGUUGUGGCUCCCUUCACUAUUUCCAAAUACACUUUCUGCUUGGAAAGUUGGUCUGGUACUUAUUUUAGGUUGACUGUCUAUGUAGAAAUCUUUCCAUGAACCUCCAUGCCCUUUUUCCAAAACCUCCCUGGCAGGAAGUUCAAAUAGGAAAAUAAGGGCUACCAGCAGAAUCAUUUAACCCAGCAUUAUACAUUUUAAUCAAAGUCUUUGAUGUGAGCAUUGCCUCUGCCAGGUAAUGCUAAGGGUGGCAUUACACGUUUCAAUGUGCAAUUAACGUUUUCCUCUGCGGUGGUGUUUUGCGUGAUAAGUCUGUGGGGGUGGGGGUGGAGGUGGGGGGUUCUGCACUGUUCUCUUCCGUAAAGCGAUCUUUCCUUCACAUGGUUGCUUUGGCAUUUUCCCUUAUUACCUGCUGUGUGUGCUGUUCUCCUUUUGACUUUUGGUAUCUGUGCUUUCAACCAACUCAUUCUGAACUAUGUUCUCCUUCAUCAGCUGUUAUCUUUCCUAAGCUCUGUGCAGCCUGGGAACUGCUGUGAAAUCCAGCUCUGUUUUCCCACCCCAAACUUUUCCGUUUUGACUCCUUUCCGGGAGAGCCUUUCCCAUUCAUUUCCUUCUGUGAUGUGUAAACCCUACUUCUGCUGCAAGUCACUCAACCACCUCCCUCUGCUCUGCUUCACAUCCGG
rnacentral:lncRNA from 1 species